rnacentral:sRNA from 1 species
CAUGAAGAGUUCCCGGGAAGCAGACCAGAUGGCUCCCAGCGAAUGUAUUUAGCCCAACCUGGAGCUAACGGAAAAACAUAGCCGAUCCCAAGAGCUCCCUGACCCUGUGACAGGGCAGGUCUGUACCUGAAGUGUCCAGAGGCCUCGAAUCAGAACAGCCCGCCUUUCAGCAGAUUAUGAAGGAAGAGGCAUUUUUAUGCAGAGCAUUCCAUUUCAUGGUGGUUUCUGUCAUUACUGGGACAGAAGAGCACGCAGCAAGAAGCUGGUCACCAUGUGGCAGUCAGGAAGCAAAAUGAGAGAAAAUCUCAGCCCAAGGGCUUUCCCGUUUUACUCCUCCAAGCCCUCAGCUUGAAUGUGAUGCUGACUAAAUUCAGAGAAGGCACUUGUGCCUCAUCUAAGCUCUGGCUGGAGAAGUCUUCACAACUACACCAAGCAGCAUUCUCGCCUGGUCUCCUAGGCACCUGUGAAUCCAAUCAAAUUGACAGGCAAGACAGACGGUCACAGAUUCAUGACGAAGAGUACACCUCGUUGGCCGCAGGAAGCUUAUGUCUUAGAGAGACAAAGCUCUUGAAGCCUGUGUGGUGGGAGGCGUGGAGCUGUGUGCCACAGGAGUGAACGGAAAUAAAGAAGGAUUAGGAGCUGAAGAGCUGGCUUUGUUGAUGCAAGCAUGAAGACCAGAGUUUACGCCCCUAGCAGCCGCAUGAAAAGUUGCACGUGGCAGCAUAUAUCUCUAAUCCCAGCUCGGAAUCAGAGGAGGAAGGAUGCCUGAGGCGUGCUGGGCAGUAGCCCAGCCAAACUGACCAGCCCGGCUUCAGCCAGAGACUGAAAAAGGUGGAGCAUGAAUGAGGAAAAGCCUUGAUGUUAACCUCUGACCCCAGAUGAUCCGCGAUGACUUGACUUACAAGUUUCUGACUUCAGGAUGGUGCGUAAGACCCCACACCACCACUCUGCUCUUCAGGUUCUGUGUUCAACAAACUAGGACUUUAAAAUACCUUGUUAGAGAACGGGCUUUGCGUUUGAUGGGUCCUGGGGAUGGAGCUCAGGUCACCAGGUUUGCACAGCAAGCCCCUUAACCUGCUGAGCCAUAUCGCCAGCCCCUAAAGGAAGUUCUUAGUGAAGACUCUGCAAUACAGAAGUCAGACCAAGCAAAUCGAUGCCAUACACCAGACCCUGAGAAUGUGGACUUGAAAAACGAGCAAAGAAUGAUCAUGAGUUCCUUUAGGAUCCUUACAGAUUGAACAUUCACAUCAAAAUGUUCAAUUCAUUCAUUCAUUCAUUCAUUCAUUCAUUGAACAUUGCAGGGCUGGGAUCAAAGCCCAGCUUUGUGUCUAUGAGGAAAGUGAUGUAGCGGGGGCUACACUCGUGGUGAGUUCACUUUCACAGGGAUGCUCAACAUCUAGCAGGCUGUGGAGCUGAUCCACAGUUCCUCCAAGUCAGUGGUUCACACAUUGGGAUUCAGUGUCACUGUCUUUUCUCUUUUGUAUCACCACAUGUUGCUCGUGUAAAGCAAUGGGGUUGUCAUAACAGUGUCUUAUGUGCAUUCAGUGCACUUGGGCACACUCACACACGCCCACCGCCUUCUCUAUGCCCCACCCACCCCCCUUUCCCCUUCUCUAACA